rnacentral:misc_RNA from 1 species
UGUAAACUUCCUAGUAUAUAUGUCUGAUUAAUCUAACAACAUUAAAUUUUUAUGUCUUUUGAUAUAUUUCUUAUUUAUUUUCUUAAAUAAGAAUCUUUCGAGUUUGCUUCGCUAACUUCUGCGUUAUGUAUAUCUUCAAUCUUUAAGACUUUAGUCAUGCUGAAAGAUCGAAAACUAUAUUUAAAUUUAAUUAGUUAAAUAAAAUCUAUUUUUA